rnacentral:rRNA from 1 species
UACAGAGACUGCGAGCGUUAUUCGGAUUCACUGGGCGUAAAGGGUGCGCAGGCGGCCAAGUGUGUGAGGCGUGAAAGCCUGGGGCUUAACUCCAGAAUUGCACCUCAAACUACAUGGCUAGAGCAUUGGAGAGGGUAGCAGAAUUCACGGUGUAGCAGUGAAAUGCGUAGAUAUCGUGAGGAAUACCAGAGGCGAAGGCAGGCACUGGGCAGUUACUGACACUGAGGCACGAAGGCCAGGGGAGCAAACGGG